CCUACGGGAGGCAGCAGUGAGGAAUAUUGGUCAAUGGACGAGAUUCUGAACCAGCCAAGUAGCGUGAAGGAUGACUGCCCUAUGGGUUGUAAACUUCUUUUAUAAAAGAAUAAAACGAGGCACGUGUGCCUUUUUGCAUGUACUUUAUGAAUAAGGAUCGGCUAACUCCGUGCCAGCAGCCGCGGUAAUACGGAGGAUCCGAGCGUUAUCCGGAUUUAUUGGGUUUAAAGGGUGCGUAGAUGGGUUGUUAAGUCAGUUGUGAAAUUUUGGGGCUCAACCGUAAAAUUGCAUUUGAUACUGGCAGCCUUGAGUACAGUUGAGGUAGGCGGAAUGCGCGGUGUAGCGGUGAAAUGCUUAGAUAUCACGCAGAACUCCGAUUGCGAAGGCAGCUUACCAAACUGACACUGACAUUGAGGCACGAAAGUGUGGGUAUCAAACAGGAUUAGAUACCCGUGUAGUC
rnacentral:rRNA from 1 species